AGAACGAACGCUGGCGGCAUGCCUAACACAUGCAAGUCGAACGCUCUUGGGGCUUCGGUUCCAAGGGAGUGGCGCACGGGUGAGUAGCGCGUGGGAACCUGCCCUGGAGUGGGGGAUAACCGAGGGAAACUUCGGCUAAUACCGCAUGCGCCCGGGAAACCGGGGAAAGAUUUAUCGCCGAAAGAUCGGCCCGCGUCUGAUUAGCUAGUUGGUGAGGUAAUGGCUCACCAAGGCGACGAUCAGUAGCUGGUCUGAGAGGAUGAUCAGCCACAUUGGGACUGAGACACGGCCCAAACUCCUACGGGAGGCAGCAGUGGGGAAUAUUGGACAAUGGGCGCAAGCCUGAUCCAGCCAUGCCGCGUGAGUGAUGAAGGCCCUAGGGUUGUAAAGCUCUUUUGUGCGGGAAGAUAAUGACGGUACCGCAAGAAUAAGCCCGGCUAACUUCGCGCCAGCAGCCGC
rnacentral:rRNA from 1 species